rnacentral:tRNA from 1 species
GAAGGUAGAGCUCAGUGGUACGGUGCAUGCCUAGUAUGCACAAGGUCCUGGGUUCAAUCCCCAGGACCUCCA